UACGGAGGGCGCGAGCGUUGUUCGGAAUUACUGGGCGUAAAGCGCACGUAGGCGGAUUUGUAAGUCAGGGGUGAAAUCCCGGGGCUCAACCUCGGAACUGCCUUUGAUACUGCAAAUCUCGAGUCCGGAAGAGGUGAGUGGAAUUCCUAGUGUAGAGGUGAAAUUCGUAGAUAUUAGGAAGAACACCAGUGGCGAAGGCGGCUCACUGGUCCGGUACUGACGCUGAGGUGCGAAAGCGUGGGGAGCAAACAGG
rnacentral:rRNA from 1 species